UCAGAUUGUUGCUGUAGCAAUAAGCGCUCGAAAAUGAAUUCUCCAUAUGGGUUUUUGCUGCCUCUUCUCAUUUGCUAUUCUCUGGUAUUCUUUUCAGCAAAUACCAUCGAAGCUGGAACAAAAUCAAGAAAGCUUCGGGAGCUGAUCUCCAAGAAUUCCAUUUCAUCUGUUUUUGUCUUUGGUGACUCCACAGUGGACCCUGGAAAUAAUGACUAUAUAGGAACUGCUUUUAAGAGCAACUUCCCACCUUAUGGGGAGGACUUCUUUGACCACAUUCCUACUGGGCGAUUCAGCGAUGGACGGCUUGUUACUGACUAUUUGGCUGAAUAUGUGGGGUUAAAAGAAACAAUUCCACCAUAUUUGGACCCAACACUUAGCGUGGAGGAGCUCAUAACCGGAGUCAGUUUUGCUUCUGCGGGGUCCGGAUUCGACCCUCUUACAGCUAAACUAAGUGGUGUAAUUCCAAUGCAGCAGCAACUAAAUUAUUUCAGAGAAUACAAAGCAAGAAUUGAAAAAGCCAUUGGAGAGAAGAAAGCAAAAGAGCUGAUUAACAAGGCCUCCUUUCUAAUAAGCUGUGGCACAAAUGACUACGUGGUCAAUUACUUCAAUAACCCGAUUAUGCAAAUUAACUACACGGUCUCAGCUUACCAGAAGUUCUUGUUAGACAAUGCCCACCAACUUCUCAAGGGAUUAAUAGAUGAGGGAGCACGGAAUAUUGGUUUAGUGGGGUUGCCACCAAUGGGGUGCUUGCCCGUUGUAAUAACCCUUAAUUCGAUCAGUGCAUUUCAUCGAAAUUGUAUUGAAAAGUAUUCCUCUGCUGCAAGGAGUUACAACGAGGGGCUUCAAGAAAUGGUGGCUUCUGUCCGACGUUCCGAUAUCAAUGUAGUUUAUGGUGACAUUUACAAUCCAAUCAAUGACAUGAUCCAAAAUCCUAGCAAAUAUGGUUUCGAAGAUAUUAAUACUGGUUGUUGUGGGACUGGACUGAUUGAAGGAUCAUUCUUAUGCAAUCAAGAGUCCCCUGUUUGCCCUGAUCCGUCAAAGUUUAUCUUCUGGGAUGCAGUACAUCCAACUCAAGCAGCAUAUUACCAUUUGUUCAAGUCCCUACGUUCACUCGCUGAUUCCUUCAUGAGGGGAUAACGCCAAUCAAUUAUCUUGUUGUUGUCAAUGUAAUGGCGUGCGCAAGAAUUUCUUUUUGCAGCCUAGCCGAGAGUUGAUCUUCUCAAUUAGAGCCUUCCCCUUUCAAAGUUUUCUUAAGCUCAUCUCAGACGGUGUUUCUUGAGGAAAUCCUAAUCUUGCAGCCCGUUCAGGAGCAACGAGAGACUCUUCUAGCAAACUAAUUGCAGCUUUUGCGCUUUUGGAUGGGAUUCGUCAUAUAUAGUUUGAAAGAUUGAUGUGCUCAUUGAGCUUGAUUCCCAUGUUUAAUUAUAUAUACCAAUGCUGUAAGAGCAUCAUUAGUAGGCCUUGUUCUAUUGAUCGGAGGAUUCAGCUAAUUAACCUAUUGAUCAAUCCCCAAGAAUUGCAAACUCAAUUCCAUUUAUAAAGAGUCAAUCAAGUCG